rnacentral:rRNA from 1 species
AACUUUCAACAACGGAUCUCUUGGUUCUCGCAUCGAUGAAGAACGCAGCGAAAUGCGAUACGUAAUUUGAAUUGCAGAUAUUCGUGAAUCAUCGAAUCUUUGAACGCACAUUGCGCCCUUUGGUAUUCCAAAGGGCAUGCCUGUUUGAGCGUCAUUUC